ACAACAUACGGAACGUCGGUCUAUCGAGCAAUAUGACCACCGAGCGGGAAGAUCUUUCCUUUGUCGU
rnacentral:pre_miRNA from 1 species